UUGGUGUACUGAAGGCUGAGACUGAUUUCUAUCUCUUCGACACCCCUCUCACCAGGAGAGUAGUCACUGUGCCGUGUGUGGUGUGGGCAAGUACCUCCCAGAAAGAGGUAAAUAAAUUCACAAAGACUAUAUUCAGAUGUGCGGCGGAUUAUGGAACUGGUUUUGGAUUAGCCUUUUAUGUUCAUGUGUUUACUGAGGCAGUUCUGAAAACUCCUAUCAUCGAAACAGUGGUGUGUCCUUUACUAGUGCAGAGGUUUUACGUCAUUGUUACGCAGCUGAAUUCCAAAAGAGAUAUCGGUCUCUUUAACUGUCAUCAACUUUUAUUGGCUAUCAGCUUUUGACAAUGACCUUCCUAUUUGCAUUUAGUCCUGUCUCUGUUUCUUGAGGGAGUAGAGCCUGUCACUUUUUUCAUCUUUCAUUUUUUGGACAUGUAUCCUUUCUAAGAGAGGGCUCUCUGUUGCCUGUUCUGAGUGAUAAGUGACAAUUUCAUCUAAUAAACAUGGGGAUGGAAUGAUCAUGGUGAAAUCCUAGGAGGAUAUAUUCUGUUGAUGGACUUUUUCUCCCCAAAUAAUCCCCCAAUAGAUUAUUUCCUAGUGAAUGAUUAUCUUCAUCCUUUUUGUCACAAAAGUGUUCCUUUGAUUUCCAGCACAAGUUACAGCAGUAUGCAAAUGAUUCUCAGAUAAAAUGAUGUUGACAGUAUUUCCUUAACAAUUUGUGUAAAACUUAUGCGUAAUUUUCAUUAUUCUAACUUUUGACUUUUUUUUCUCUCCAUAAAUAAAAAUAAUGCCUGAUGUUUAGUUAAAGUAGA
rnacentral:lncRNA from 1 species